rnacentral:rRNA from 1 species
UGGGGAAUAUUGCACAAUGGGGGGAAACCCCUGAUGCAGCGACGCCGCGUGAGCGAAGAAGUAUUUCGGUAUGUAAAGCUCUAUCAGCAGGGAAGAAAAUGACGGUACCUGACUAAGAAGCACCGGCUAAAUACGUGCC